GGGUUGGGGGGAAUUACCAUUAGCAGUUGAAGUGGUAGGAAAUUUUUACAUAGGAGAGUAUGGUGAUCAUAUUUGCAUUUUAGAAAAUAAUGGAUAGCAGUUUGUUAGGGGAACAAAGGACAGAGACAGGGAGACUAUUUAAAACAUUAAUAAAAAAUACCAGUGACAGAUGAUGAGGCACCUACCUGAUGGGAAUGGAGAAGAGGAGAUGGAUUCAGAAACUACUUAGGAGAGGCAGGCAGUCCAAGGCUGAUGCCCAAAGAAGCCAUCAAGACCCGUGCUACUUCCAGCUCCUUCUGUCCUCAUAAUCAUAGAUGAUUGCUCCACAUCCAGCACCUAACACCAGUACUCAGUUAAAUUUUUUGCUGAAUAAAUCAAUGAAUGGAGAGGUAAAGAGGAACCAGAAGUUGGGGUUACAGAAGUCACUGAUGGAAGAGUUUCAAGAUAGUAGAAGUGGUCAGCCCUGUUAAGUGACAAGCCAAGGACUGAAGAAAGACUGGCAGAUUUGGCAAUCAGAUGAAGUGACCUGACCAAAGAGCAGCUUGUGUGAAGUAGUGAGGACAGGCGCUGGUCUGCGACUGGUUUAGGAGGAAAUGGAAAUGAAGAAGAAGAGAUAGGAAAGUGGAGAUUAUAUGAUGACAAGUAUCAAGAUAAAAAUGAACACAUUUGGCCUGCUACCUGAAUUUUUUAAAUCGGCUCACCAAAAAAUAUCAGGCUUAUUGAAAUAUUGGAAUAUCUGAUGAAGUUUCCUCUUAUCUUUGAGCUGUUUGGGUUUGGGUAAAAUUUCAAUGCUUAAAAUUCACGUCUACAACUAGCAGGCAGAACCUUAAAGUCCAGAACCAUUAAAGGGUUUAAUAAUGAGUCUCGCUCAGUUUCCAGGCUGGAGUGUAAUGGCGUGAUCUUGGCUCACUGCAACCUCUGCCUCCCAGCUUCAAGUGAUUCCCCUGCUUUAGCCUCCCAAGCAGCUGGGACUACAGGCAUGCACCAGCAUGGCCGGCUAAUUUUUUUUUGUAUUUUAGUACAGAUGGGGUUUAACCAUGUUGGCCAGGAUGAUCUUGAUCUCCUGACCUCGUGAUCUGCCCACCUCGGCCUCCCAAAGUGCUAGGAUUACAGGCGUGAGCCACCUUGCCCGGCCUUCUAUUCCUUUUUCUAAUGCAUUUGCCCCAGCUAUCUGUAUAGCCUGCAAUCUGGUAGAUGGACCACAGGGAAACCACUGCAGCAAACUAAAAGUGUCUAUCUCAGAUCCUUCCACCACCAUCAUUUCCAAAAUCACCGUCACUAUCUCCACCACCAUCACCUUUACCACCAUCACCACUAUCAUCCUCAUCCUUCCCAUCACCAUCUCCACUGCUAUCUCUCAACACCAUCAUCAUCACCACCACCACCAUCAUCACCAUGAGCACCACCUCUGUCGUCAUCAAAAAAGCACACAGUUCAGGCUGGCCUGUUGGAGGAUAACAGAUCAUGUGGAGCAGAGACGAGCUGGCCCACCUCAGGCCCUACCAGAGCAAUCAGCUUGCCAAACACGACAUACAUCAGCGAGGCCAUCCUAGACCAUCCAGCCCUAGCUGAGCCAGCCCAGACCAGAGACUCAUGAGAAACAGUAAAAUGUUCAUCAUUUUAA
rnacentral:lncRNA from 1 species